rnacentral:lncRNA from 1 species
UUUUUAACAGAGCCCAGAUUUUUAAUGUGAAACAUCCUACCUUUUAAAUGAUGCCAGUUAAUGUUUUAAAAAAUAAUGAAUCUCUGUGCAAGAGCAGCUAAGCACAUUUGUGGCCCACCAGUGGACAAACUCUGAGUUAGACAUUGUGGCAGCUGGGGAGGGGGCUCCUGCUUUCACUGAAUUUGCAGGCCCCGGGGGAGCUGGCUGUGAGGAAGCCAGUUCUCAGCUCUGGAGUGACCAUGUGUGGUGGGUUCUACAGCGGGGAAGCACUGUGGGCUGGGCGAGUGCGUUCUUCCAGGAGGAGGAUUUGGCUCUGCCCUGACGGCUGAGUGUGGGGUGAAGGGGAGCGGGCAGGAGGCUGGGGAAGGUCAGGCCCUGCAGAGGAAAUGGCUUCAGCAAAGGCUUGGCAGAGGGACUUGGCCCCGGCCAUCUGCACAUCCGAAGGGCAUCCAGCGUGUCCCUUGGCAACACAAGGAGCAGUUACUCCAUCCCUCACUCAGUGGAAAAGGAGGGCAGCCCCUUCUUGAUAACUGUGCCAUGCUCAGGAAUCGCCAGCCAGAGCGGCAGUGAGUAGAGGGCAGGUCAGGCUGGCCUGGGGUCCCUGGCCCCAUGUACUGGCUGGAAACCGGAGCCUCCUUGGGGGCCUCUCUGUGCCUGCCAUUAUCCACUCCAGUCUUAGCUCCUAGACCCUGCCUGGCCCUCUCUUUCCUGAAGGAGGGAACCUGGAAACGCACUUCAGAUUCCUCGGUGCUUAUGUACUGUUUGGGGCGAGGCCUGGCACAUUCCAGAACAAAUGGAAUUAGCAGGCAGUGAGGGGGGAGUAAGCUCCACAGGGAGGAGGCGGGAUAGAGGCAGCAGAGGGAGGCCGCUGGCCUGGGUUUUGCUCCUCCUGGCAGGGUCUGCAUGGAGCUUUGGCCCUCAGUCUUCCUCUCCCCAGCCUCUACUGUUCCAGAUCACCAUGGGGUCUCGGAGAGGGGCUCUUAGUCAGGAGGAAAUCCUCCAGGGUCAAAGCCAAGGUUAAAGUGACUUCCGUGUGAGCAUCUUCUUCCUACCCAGCACCGGUUUAUGAUGAACAGACAGCGAAGGCUCCAUUGCAACUGGAGGGCCAGGUGUCACAGCUCAUACCUGUAAUCCCAGUGCUCUGGGAGGACAAGGCAGGAGGAUCACUUGAAGCCAGGAGUUCGGGACCAGCCUGGGCAACAUGGCAAGACCCUGUCUCUAAAAAAUAAAAAUGGGGCGCAGUGGCUCAUGCCUGUAAUCCCAGCACCUGGGAGGCUGAGGCAGGCGGAUCACUUGAGGCCAGGAGUUCGAGACCAGCCUGGGCAACAUGGUAAAACCCCCAUCUCUACUAAAAAAUACAAAAAUUAGCCAGGCAUGGUGGCGGGCACCUGUAAUCCCAGCUACUCAGGAGGCUGAGGCAGGAGAAUCCCUUGAACCCAGGAGGUGGAGGUUGCGGUGAGCUUGGAUCGCGUCAUGGUAUUCCAACCUCGGGUGACA